AUUGAACGCUGGCGGCAUGCCUAACACAUGCAAGUCGAACGGUAACGCAAGAAGCUUGCUUCUUGGCGACGAGUGGCGGACGGGUGAGUAAUGCUUAGGAAUCUGCCCAGUAGUGGGGGACAACUCGGGGAAACUCGAGCUAAUACCGCAUACGCCCUACGGGGGAAAGCGGGGGAUCUUCGGACCUCGCGCUAUUGGAUGAGCCCACGUCAGAUUAGCUUGUUGGUGGGGUAAAGGCUCACCAAGGCUACGAUCUGUAGCUGGUCUGAGAGGACGAUCAGCCACACUGGGACUGAGACACGGCCCAGACUCCUACGGGAGGCAGCAGUGGGGAAUAUUGGACAAUGGGCGCAAGCCUGAUCCAGCAAUGCCGCGUGUGUGAAGAAGGCCUGCGGGUUGUAAAGCACUUUCAGUUGGGAAGAAACGCUCAAGGUUAAUACCCUUGGGAAUUGACGUUACCGACAGAAGAAGCACCGGCCAACUCCGUG
rnacentral:rRNA from 1 species